UACGUAGGGUGCAGGCGUUAAUCGGAAUUACUGGGCGUAAAGCGUGCGCAGGCGGCCUCUUAAGUCAGAUGUGAAAUCCCCCGGGCUUAACCUGGGAACUGCGUUUGAAACUGGGAGGCUAGAGUGUGGAAGAGGGGGUGGAAUUCCAGGUGUAGCAGUGAAAUGCGUAGAUAUGCGGAGGAACACCGAUGGCGAAGGCAAUCCCCUGGACCUGUACUGACGCUCAUGCACGAAAGCGUGGGGAGCAAACAGG
rnacentral:rRNA from 1 species